ensembl:lncRNA
GUUGGACAAAUAGGUUUAACAUCUGGCAAAAGAAGAAGAAAAAAAAAAAACAAUUAAAUUUCACGGUUGCCAUGCAUUACAAAAGAAACACAUCUUCACCAAACAGAUGUAUUUGGUGUAAUGCGAAGACUGGGUGAAUUACCACUUCCCCUCACGACUACGUUACCCCAGUGGCCACUCGCAGCUCAAGCGGAGGAAUAAACUCAUCUUCAGAAGUAAGAACAAUCCAGAUGUGCCUAGUAUUUUCCCCCCGAAAAUCCCCAGCGUACUUUAUGUUGUUGGACGAGACGGGUAUAUUUCUACAGACGCGUGUCAAGCGGUGCAGAAUCCGGGUGUCGUGCUACUUAAUUCCAAAAAGUUCUCGUUUUCUAUUGGUUCACAAGACCGAGGUCGAAGUUCGCCUGGAUAAACGUGGCGCUAAAAUGAAAGUAACCCAUACCGGAAGAAAAUGCGUCCUUUCCCUUUCCUUGCGUUUGGUCCGAACACUUGGUCUGAGAAAGCAGAAAAGCAUAGUUUUCCGGUGUCUUCCAUAUCGGGGUGGAAGACUGUGAGACUGAACAGUAAUUGUUGGCGCGUCUGACGGUAUAGGCCUGGUUGGCGCGUUUUUCUAGCAGAAGGCAUAUUUAAAACAGUACUGAAGUGCAGUAAGAUUUGGUUAUGCGAAGAAGACGUUGUUUUACACUAAAACGUGUUCCUUUUUCCCUUUCCUUUACGGGCGUUCUCUUGAAGCACAGUGACAGCCUUUUGCAUUUUUAUGCAAAUCCAGUAAUCAGAUUAUCCAAAUCCCGCUCAGUAUAGCCAGAAACAUAUUUCCUGUCUCUGCAUUACGCACAAACAGCUUCAUUAUGUUUCCAAAACACGGACCGAGAACGGAAUCCUGUAUCUCUGAUAUCUGAUCAUGAAGUACCUCGCUGAUCGAAUCAGAUGCUAUGCUAAGAUGGCUAGUCAUCGCUGAUGGUUUUUUCAAAUGUUUUUUUAAUUAAAAACAACGUUCACUUCUGAAGCAGCUGCUUAAUUUCUAACUAGUCGAGCACUGUCGCGUCGAUUUCAGGCUGACGCUGGAUACUGGAUUACACGAAACACCAGCUUAACUAGCUUAACCUGGCUAAUUGUUUGAAGUUACGUAAUAGUAGUGUAAUCUUGGGUAGUUUGUCAGGAGGCUUGGCUAAUAGCUUACACGAUAUAAGAGUCUAAUGAUAGCUAGCCUGCUAGUGAACCUGGCUAAUCGUUUGAAGUUAGAUAAUAGUUAGCGUAAGGUUAGAUAAAUUGUUAGUGCUUGGUUUUAGUUACAUACUACUUUAACUACUUCUUUCAUCAACAUUAGUGCUACUGAAAGUAGUAUGUAAUUAAUGCCAAGUGCUAGCCAAGUGACAAACCUGGCUAAAUGUUUGAAUUACAUAAUAGUUAGCAUAAGGUUAGCUAGCUUGCUAUUGCUUGGUUUUAAUUACAUACUAAUAGACUAAGAUUAGUUAGCCAGUCUGAGAAGACAGCUAGCUAUUGCUACUGCUGAAGAGAUUAGCCUAGAUAACUAAGCUAACUACCUAGCCUAUAGCAUUAGCACAGUGCUGUGUUAGCUAGGUUAGAAAGAAAAAGUCAGCCACUCCAACCAAAGACUGCUGAUUUAUGAUUUUUAUCUUUAAAAAAAUGGUAAUGGUAAGUCAUUAGCGAAGCCGUGGAGCGUGUACGUUGUUCCUAUAGAAAUGAUAAUGUAUUAGAACAAUUGUAUUAAUAUAAAGGUGUUGAUUUGUAGCUGCACUACAGUCAGAGCUGCUGUUUUAGGAAAUUCAUCAACACCUUCUGGCCAAUCAGAACCCAGAAUUAAUCAGUGCGUCGGUAUAAAAAGUUCGUAUGCAGCAUCUUGAACAGAAACUAACUGGUUCUACAAAUCCUGUAUUCUUAAAGCUGUGUGACUGCGCUUUAUUAUUCAGUUGCUUUUUAUAAACACGGAUGAUUAUUCAUGGCUUAUAAACAUGUUGUAGCACGGGUGUCUCUAUUCAGCGUAUUAUUAGGAAUUUGACUUGGCAGCCGAGGGAGAGAGAGUAGAAGAGUAAUGGUUUCUUCGGAGUAGGAGGUGAACCUGUUAAAGCUGACUAAACCUGUUAAAGCUGAUAAACAUGAAUGUAGGAGUAAACAUGAAUAAAUAGGAAUGGAGAUGUAAACAUGAAUAAACAUGAAUGUAGAAAUAAAUAUGAAUAAACAUGAAUGUAGGAGUAAAUAUGAAUAAACAUGAAUGCAGGAGUAAACAUGAAUAAAUAGGAAUGUAAAAGUAAACAUGAAUGUAGGAGUAAACAUGAAUAAACAGGACUGUAGAAGUAAACAUGAAUAAACAUGAAUGUAGGAGUAAACAUGAAUAAACAUGAAUGUAGGAGUAAACAUGAAUAAACAUGAAUGUAGAAGUAAACAUGAAUAAACAUGAAUGUAGGAUAAACAUGAAUAAACAUGAAUGCAGGAGUAAACAUGAAUAAAUAGGAAUGUAGAAGUAAACAUGAAUGUAGGAGUAAACAUGAAUAAACAGGACUGGAGAUGUAAACAUGAAUAAACAUGAAUGUAGGAGUAAACAUGAAUAAACAGGACUGGAGAUGUAUGUGUAUGUAUAUGAAUGUAGGCUUUCAGGGGCAGAAUUUCCCCACAAUGCAUUGCAGUCUGAUGUAUUUUUCAUGUUAACAAAUAUAAGGCUGUGUGUGUGUGUGUGUGUGUGUGUGUGUGUGUGUGUGUGUGUGUGUGUGUGUGUGUGUGUGUAAUGCAGCAUUAGAGGUGUAAGGUUAGUGUUAUUUGUGCAGUCUGUGAAACCUGUGAUCUUAAAUCCUCAUGACUUUGAUUAUAAUGCUUCCUAAGUUGUUUACAAAGCUCUAUAAUUACUCCUCCAAAGAAGUGUUAGAAAUGACUAUCAUUAAUUCAGAUGCGUCAUGGCGUGCAAAACAGCCUACUGCCCCGUUCUUCUUCCCGAUGAUGACUUAAUGACAUCAUUACACACCAAUUUCUCAACUGUUAGUCCAUAUCCGAGAUGACCGUCUCGAUUCGGUUCCUGUUUGGUACGAAAACGGAUCAGAACGGAGCGAAAAAAAAAAGACGUGUGGGAGAAGGCGGAGCUCGAAAUGCACGCGAGCAAAUGAGCGAAAACUCGAGGAGUGUCCCGUAGCGAUGUGUGUUCAUUUGUGCCGUGUUUGUUUUAGUGUGACAGAAAUGUAGAGACAUUUAAAAUACUUUGGACCUAGCUACAGUCCCCUCUGAAACUACUGGAGCGGCAAGACCAAAAGUAUAGGAACAGAUCGAUCAUGGACUAACUUACAGUAAAUAGGGG